GUUUUCAAAGGGCGCUAGGGGUCGCAGGAAAUCAGUGAAAAAGUGCAGGGGCACCAACACUGGAUACACACUGAUAUCACAGGUCGGGGCUGGCCCCUCUCCCAGGCUUUCACCCCGGAAGCGUCGGCCAGUGUGCAUCUGUGCCAGCCAGAAAAAGGUUGCCGAACGCUGCUCUCAAUCAUACACGAAACAACCUACCUUCCAAUUAAAUCAAAGUCUCCCAGAGGGCACAGACUGCCUUAUUCAUCCUUGCUAUCCCCUCGGCCUCCAACCUGGGAGAUUUCGUUAUUGAUGCAGUGGACCUUAAAAUGCUUGCUCAAUUAAAUGGAUUUAACCUGUAUUGAAGCAAUCCUAGACCUCCUUCUAAAAAUGUAAAAAUUGAGGCGAAAAUCACAUUUGCCGCAACCUUCAUUAGGUGAGACAAAUCCUGGAGGUCAAGAUCGAUUGCUCUAACAGCAGAACAAGGACAAGCCUAAACUGAAGCAGAUGCUACAUGUGCAGCAAUCUCUUUUUAAGAUGUGUUCUUCGCCUAAUACUGCGGCAAGCAAGGGAACAUCAUCUUACACAAGAGGCGGUAAAACAAGAAAGAAAACCGAGGAAGGCACUGAGUCUAACUAUUACUGCCAGGAAGUCUCCUUACAAAUGACAGAAGAUUAUUUCGGCGACAAGAUAAAGUGUGUUCAAGGAGCGAGCCCUCUGAAGAGCAGCAGGCUGUAA
rnacentral:lncRNA from 1 species